rnacentral:piRNA from 1 species
AAAGAAGGAUAAGCAUCUGGCAGAAACAGA